rnacentral:lncRNA from 1 species
UCUCAUUUCUGUUUUCAUCCUUUGCUAUCCUGACCAAGCUUCCUGGAUGGACCCUGAACCCUUUGUUGUAGGAAACCUCAUCCACAGCACUAUCAUCUGGAUAAACUUCGGGUCUGCAUUACAGAUCUCUGGUACUUCAGGCACUUCACAUGAAAACAGGAGAGCCGGUGUAGGAGGGAAGCUGUUCAGGAUCAAGAUUUGGGUGCUUUUCUAGAAUGACAUACUUGACUUCAGUGGCAUCAGUUCUAACAGCAGCUAAAAUUCAGAUUUUGUCUCUACUUUUGAAGAAGAUAAAUGGAAUGUCUCCAUAGAAUUGCAAGUUCAGCACUGACUGACACAGAUUCUUCACUUUGUUUGAAUUCCUCCGUGAGUUGUUGCCUAUUUCCCUCAAGUAUAUCAGAAUA